ensembl:lncRNA
UCUUGACAUUUUGCAUUGAAUCUGAACCAAAUCUUUAAAGGAAUUGGCCACAACACGUGUGGGGCUGCAGCCAGUGGCUGAGUGCUGCUGGAUGGAAGAGAUACCUCCCCAGCUCCAUCCGCUCCUGCCCUGGCCAUAAUCUCACCUUGUGCCUCCUGCCAGCCUGGGGCAAAAAAAAAUGGUCAGUGAUUGACUCCAUUUUGUAAUGCCAUUUUAGAGAGUUAAAUCAGCAUAUGGAAAGAUGUGUGGAGAGGCAAGAGUAGGUUGACAGGACCAGGGAGGGAAGGGGAACAGGCUGUCUUCCUGUCUCUAUGGUGAACUGUUACUUCAGCUCUCCACAUCCCAUAAAGUGGCUCCCAUGCUACUUUGUCCUCUGGAUAAUCAGGCAGCUCCUCCAGGGACAGGAAUAUAUCUUCUCAGACCUGCUGGAGCAUGCAUCAGACACUGGAUGAGGCAGGCAGGGUGUGUGGAUGUGUCCUCAGCAUCGCUGGGGAUAGAGAGCGGGAAAGAGAAGCCCUACAUAAAAUGAGAAUUGCAGUUCUUUCUGUCUUUCAGUUAGUGCCAUUUUGGCUGUAUAGCAGUGGGGGUGGCUUGUCAGUGUUGGAUUGCAGCAAGUAAGGCCAGGCUUUUAAGCUGUUUGAUGUUGUGUCACCAUCACUUUUCAGGGUGGCUGAGAAAGACUGCGCUAGAGCUCUAUGAGUGAGUUUUGAGGUCCUUUCUGUUUACAAAUCACUAAUUAAACAAGAAACAAUAUUGGGCUGCAGAAGGCUCAGAAUAGAUGCGCACAUUCCCCUUUGCAGCAUGUUACCAGGCAGACCCAUCUCCCUAGGAAGGAAUGUACCUCGUGGCUGCUAGGACAAUGACCCUGGCACCCAUGGGAAGAACUGGAUGCAGAUGCAGUGUAGAUGCUGGGCUUGGUAUACCUGGUGUGGGUGCUGUCAGACAGCACUCCUCUGGACACCGGGUGUGCUUCCAGGUCUCUUGUUCAUGUCUGUGUCAGGUAGAGCCCUGUUCCUGUAGUGAGCACAAUCACCCUUUUAUCACAUCCUACAUGCGAGUUAAUGGUUCUUUAUCCUUUUUUUCCACACUUAAUUCAGAUGGUGCUGAAACAAGGUUCACUCCUUGUUGCUCCUUUUGUAGUUUUUUAAAUUAUUUUUUUAUUUUUCAUGAACAGCAGGCUAUGUUAGCCUUUACUUUACAGGUACUUGAAUGCCUGAUGACUUGACUGAGUGUUUAGCAUGUGGCCUUUUGUAAAGGUUACUGACCUUAAUUUAAUCAGGGGUGAGAUGGAUGGAUGAAUGUGAACAGAUCCAUACCAUCAAAGCAGAGCAAAAGUAGGGAGUAGAGUUUGGAAGAAGUGAUGAUUUCUUAAUUGAAUUUAUUUAAAAAAUAAUAAUAAAAAAGGAGAAACCCUUCCCAGUUAUAAUUUGAACGAAAUCUGUUGCUGGAGGAGGGUUUCGUAAUGAGGAAAAUGAGACACAAAAACAGGGGCAAACUUCCAAGAUAGAAAGUGCCUGGCUCUCUGUGCAGCCCCCUGGGCCUGUCUGAGAUUCCUUUACCCUCUUUCUAUUUUGUGAAAAACUCUUGCUAUUACCAUAGCUUUUUCCAAAUGUGAAUGUUUAAGCUAUGUAACAACUCCAUUAUGAACACAGUGGUGUGCUAAUGCACGGCCAUCGAGCGCUUUGAUCUUUUCCAUUUGAAAACACGGUGGAUUUGAUCACCUUCUGAUUCCAUUUUCUUUCUCAGAGCCAACCUUGACAAAGGAAUUAAUCUUUCACCAACGAACGCCUUUUAGAAUAGCUCGUUUACCAAAAGGUGUCGUUUCAAGAAUGGAAGCAAUCACUUGAUGCUGAGACAAUGACAGAAGCAGCUAGAAGUACAGUUUUAUUCCUUAAACCUUUGCGUUCCCGGAGUAAAAUGCAGCGUCUUCCUCUUUCUCCCCUUAUUUCGAAAAUAAAAGGCCACUCGGUGUUCGUAGCACCUGAAUGGAUGGACAGCCCUUCUGUUAACUCCUCCGGUUAAACAUACAGCACCGGGGCAUCGUUGCCUGCUCGUGCUCUGGGCUGACCCAGAAGCGCGGCCUGUUGUGCGGUUGUCUCAAUGGGCAUCGCUGGGGUUUGGCAGGGACGGGCCUGGGCCUUCCUGGUGUCUGCUGGAACAUCUCGCCCUUGUUUAAAGCCAAGUCAAGUUGGCCUUUAUAAAACUGGUCUGUCUUCACACACAUUUUUAAGUUGGAGUUCAAAUAGGGGGAUUUAUGGGACUCAUCAGAGGCUUCUGGAUGCCCCCUCCCACCCUUCUUGUGAUUUUUUGAGUUAGCGAUGAUCCAAUGGGCCUUGUGACCUUGUACAUAAUCCUGUAUAUUUAUUUUGAGAGACAAUAUGUAUAGUGUUUGGGGGAUGAGAAUGGAAACCUGAAACGGGAAUUUGGAGGUGGACAAUUGUAAAGAAACAAACGAACGAAGACAGAAACAAUCUUAUUUUGUACAAAAUGUACAUUUUGGAGAAUUUUUUUCUAAUGCAUUACCAAUGUUUUCAUAGUGCUGCCACAUCUUUUUUAAGGUGUUUCUCCCUCUUUGUUUGACUAUUGAAACAUGGUGCAAUGAAACCUAAAGCAAGUGUGUGAGUGAGAGAAAAAGAGGGAGUGAGAAAUUAAAAAGCCAUAUAAUUUGGUUUACUUCAUUAACCUGUAUAACAUCAUAGGUUUGCCAUCUAAAAUAGGUUGUUUUUAUAGAUAGUGUCACCAAAGACUUUUUUUCUUCAGAUUUAUUUUGAAAAGUUGUUAAUAAAGGACGUACAUU